UCUCUUUCCUCUCCUUUUCCAUUUUAAAGAGGAGUUUGAUGAGGAAAGAAAGGAAACACUAUAAUAAGAUAUGUUAAAAGCAAAAACACCUAAAAUGUUCAUGAGAUUAACUCAUCCAUAAAAUGGAAGAGGGUAGUCGUGGCAGAAUGCAUCAUAAAGCAAUAACCCAUCAAAGUUGGGUUUACAAGAAACACAGUUAAAACAUAAAGCUUGAUCCAGAAUUAAAAUGAUGAAUUAGAAUAGAACCUAUCAUCCCUCCAUUGAAUUUUUUUAAAAAAUCAAGGUUUUCAAACAUGAUCUCAAUUCAGACAACAAUAAAAGUAGGUGUAGUUAAAAGACAAACAAAGAAAUUACUUUCACAAAAUAUUUCCACAACGACAUUUGAUACAAUACAUAAAAAACAAGUGAUUCAACAAUAAAUAAAGGGUCAAAAAGUAUCAAUAGGGGAAGGAAGGAAGGAAGGAAGGAAGGAAGGAAGGAAGGAAGGAAGGAAGGAAGGAAGGAAGGAAGGAAGGAAGGAAGGAAGCAAGGAAGGAAGGAAGGAAGGAAGGAAGAAAAGGAGGGAGGGAGGAAGGAAGGAAAGAAAGAAAGAAAGAAAGAAAGAAAGAAAGAAAGAAAGAAAGAAAGAAAGAAAGAAAGAAAGAAAGAAAGAAAGAAAGAAAGAAAGAAAGAAAGAAAGAAAGAAAGAAAGAAAGAAAGAAAGAAAGAAAGAAAGAAAGAAAGAAAGAAAGAAAGAAAGAAAGAAAGAAAGAAAGAAAGAAGGAAGGAAAAUAAGAAGGAAGGAAAAUAAGAAAGAAAGAAAGUACUUGCCAACUCUGAACACAUAAGGGGGAAACUGAGAAGGAAUGGACAAAGAAUUCAAUGUCACCAGUUAUUAUUUAAGUACUUACUGCAUGCCAGGCACUGCACACUGUGUGAUGAAGAUACAAAGAAAGUCCUACACCAACCCUCAAAAUGUAAAUAAGAGCAGCUGAAAUAUCUACUUAACUUGUCAUUAUUUGGUUUUUUAGUGACCUGCAAUCCUGGAUGGUGGCCAUCUGGGGGUUAGCCACCUGGAUGAUAACUGAAAAGCCAAAUUCCAGUGAGAUCCCUAGGAGAUGAAGCCUGGUUGUCCUUGAGCAAUCUUAUGACUUUUGUCCUCCUGAGAUUUCCAUCUCAAUAUUACUUGCAGACUCUUCAAGAGGUAGGAAGUAGCUCUCAGUUCUGCUGGAACUUUGAGAACUCAGGUGGAAAAAAAUUGAAAUCAAAAGUCCUUUAAGUUUCAUUUUUUCAUUUUGCUAUAUUCUGGCUAGAAUAAAAUAAUUUAUUCAGCAAGAAGAAACA
rnacentral:lncRNA from 1 species